CUGCAGGGCGUAUUGGAAACCACGAACACUUCAGCAGACCAUGAGGAUAAGAAGGAACGAGGAACUCACUGAUUGCUCAACAAAUUUCCAAGAAGAGGGCAGACUUGAACAUCUGCAGCGAGACAGCCUGGACUGGGGGGUCCUGCCUAAAAAUGAAAUCGUGAAGAAAAUGAAGAGAGCUAAAAGCACAGAUCCUGGCGCUGACAAU